UAGAAGGCAGCAGUGAGGAAUUUUGGACAAUGGGCGCAAGCCUGAUCCAGCAAUGCCGCGUGCAGGAUGAAGGCCUUCGGGUUGUAAACUGCUUUUGUACGGAGCGAAACGGCUCACUCUAAUAAAGUGAGCUAAUGACGGUACCGUAAGAAUAAGCACCGGCUAACUACGUGCCAGCAGCCGCGGUAAUACGUAGGGUGCAAGCGUUAAUCGGAAUUACUGGGCGUAAAGCGUGCGCAGGCGGUUAUAUAAGACAGAUGUGAAAUCCCCGGGCUCAACCUGGGACCUGCAUUUGUGACUGUAUAGCUAGAGUACGGUAGAGGGGGAUGGAAUUCCGCGUGUAGCAGUGAAAUGCGUAGAUAUGCGGAGGAACACCGAUGGCGAAGGCAAUCCCCUGGACCUGUACUGACGCUCAUGCACGAAAGCGUGGGGAGCAAACAGGAUUAGAUACCCCUGUAGUC
rnacentral:rRNA from 1 species